rnacentral:rRNA from 1 species
GAUGAACGCUGGCGGCGUGCCUAAUACAUGCAAGUCGAGCGAACAGAUAAGGAGCUUGCUCCUUUGACGUUAGCGGCGGACGGGUGAGUAACACGUGGAUAACCUACCUAUAAGACUGGGAUAACUUCGGGAAACCGGAGCUAAUACCGGAUAACAUAUUGAACCGCAUGGUUCAAUAGUGAAAGGCGGCUUUGCUGUCACUUAUAGAUGGAUCCGCGCCGUAUUAGCUAGUUGGUAAGGUAACGGCUUACCAAGGCAACGGUACGUAGCCGACCUGAGAGGAUGAUCGGCCACACUGGAACUGAGACACGGUCCAGACUCCUACGGGAGGCAGCAGUAGGGAAUCUUCCGCAAUGGGCGAAAGCCUGACGGAGCAACGCCGCGUGAGUGAUGAAGGUCUUCGGAUCGUAAAACUCUGUUAUCAGGGAAGAACAAAUGUGUAAGUAACUGUGCACAUCUUGACGGUACCUGAUCAGAAAGCCACGGCUAACUACGUG